AUGACGACGAGCAGGGAGAAGAGGUGGAGCCUGGCCGGCGCGACGGCCCUGGUCACCGGCGGCAGCAAAGGAAUAGGGCGUGCCAUUGUUGAGGAGCUCGCCGGCUUCGGGGCGCGGGUGCACACCUGCUCCCGCAACGCGGCGGAGCUGGAAGAGUGCCGCCGGCAGUGGGAGGAUGAGAAGCUGGCGGUUACCGUCUCCGUGUGCGAUGUCUCUGUGCGCUCUGAGAGGGUGAAGCUCAUGGAGACGGUCAGGGAGUCCUUCGACGGCAAGCUGGACAUACUGGUGAACAAUGCAGGGCAAUUGGUUUUGAAAGCGGCUACAGAGUGGACGGCGGAGGACUACGCACAAUUGAUGGAGACUAACUUAGAGUCAAGCUUCCACCUUAGUCAGCUCGCGCACCCUCUACUCGUCAACGCCUCUGUACUUGGAGGAGGUAGCAUCGUCAACAUCUCCUCUGUUGGAGGUAUAUUUGGCUACCCAGGCCUCGCACUUUAUGGCAUCACAAAAGGAGGAAUGAACCAAUUUACAAGGAGCCUCGCCACUGAGUGGGCUAGAGACAAUAUUCGUGUGAACUCUGUUGCCCCAGGCAUUGUGUCAACAGACAUGAUCAAAGAUUUAGAGCCGGAUGCCCUUGAGGAAGCAUGCUCGCGGAUCCCGAUGGGCCGGAGUGGCAAGCCAACGGAGGUCGCUUCAGUGGUGUCCUUCCUUUGUAUGCCCACGGCGUCCUAUAUCACCGGCCAGGUUAUUUGUAUCGACGGCGGUCGAACCAUUUAUUAG
rnacentral:rRNA from 1 species